AGGGUCCAGGGUUCAAGUCCCUGUUCGG
rnacentral:piRNA from 7 species